GGCGCUGUGUAUUAAAACAACAUGACGGACCGGCACGCGAUAUUGCAUCAUCCUAGCCGCCCGCGUUGAUCUCCUUGUUUUCGGUUGUUUUUGACAGAGCAAGUGCCUCAACGGACCCUUAAUCGUGCGCUGGAUGUUUCUAAAAGGAGGUGUCAUUUUCCUGGAAUACCCUUUUCCUGAUUGCACGAGCUUUGAUCUGACUUCGGACACUCGCAGUUGGACGGUUUGAAUGAACAUCUUGGCCUGGCAACCUUCAAAUAGAUCUGAGAGUGCAGCUGAAGCUGAAAUAAAGAAUAGAAGAUGGUUCACCUGCGCGACAUGCUGAUCAAGAACACGAAAGUACGGCCAGGAGGGGCAAGGAAAAAUAAAAUUGAAUUAACCAGAUGCGAAAGCCCUAAGUGUUCUUAACCGCCCGCCAGUAGCACAACGCACAUUAACUGGAUAGUCUCAAAUCACAAUUAGAACUUCAAUAAAAUUAAAAGAGCUCAAUGGCGCAUUCCUAUGGCUGCUUUGAAUAUGAGGGGCUUUCCGCAAAUGCGGUUAAAGUUAACUUAUAGAAUGUUCGUUACCUAUUUUAUCAUUUGGUAUGUUGAAAUUUAUGGAAAAUUUAAUGGCCCUGAGUUCUCAAUGAUAAAAACACAUUCUCAUACUGUACAGCAGCUGAUUCAGCCCCACAGGCAUCUAACAAAAUUAAUAUUUACUCUAUUUUGGAAGUUAAGUACACCGCUCAUAAGGUAUACGGGGCUGAAACGUAUGCAGUAUAGUACGAGAACGUACUAUUUUUAUGCAUAACAUAAUUUUCAUUAAUUAUACGCAGAUUUAGUUUUUCCACACACAGCAGUUUUCAUUAAAUUUAAAAAUAAAACCUGUGGCCUGUGUGAUUACGAAUUUGAAUAUGAUCACGAAUUAAAAUAUUAUUAAUAUUAUAUUAUUAUUAUGAAAAGGAAGCAUUAUACUAACUAAUUGUAUUAAUAUAAACGCUUGAAAUAGUUUUACGCGGUUUGCGUUAAAUAAAUAUUAUAUUCUAUUCUUUAUAUCAUGAAAAUUUCAUCACAAAGAAAUAUGUAUAUGUCAAACACGUGUAAUUGCCUUUAAAUUGUUCUUAAGCCUGCGGAAUGAAUUUAAAAAUGUAUUUACGUAUGUAUUGUAACGCUCGUCUUUGGGGUUAAUUGCUUAAAUUUACUUUAAGAAUGACUCGAAGAGCCAACUGCCAGAUUUGCCUCUUUUGUCUUGGGCUACUGUUGGGACCCUCGCGUGGGUGUUCCCGUAAUUUAACUUAAAUUGACCUCCUUUGGCCGGUCUGCGGCACCCAGAGCCGGACACUCGCCUGGUUCGCUCUCGUGGGCGAAAGGUGGUGUCCCCAACUCUGUAACUGUCAGACGGAAAGUGUUAUAAAUAUGGAGGUUUACGUUUAUUAGAUUGUUUUAAGCCGAACAACUUACUUAUUUCCAGUGGGAUCUCUAAUAAUCAAUACAACUUCCAUCUAUUUUAACAUUCGAGCUUAUGUUAUACGAUAGAGUCGACCAUCACCCGCGUCGUAUUCCGUAUUGAUUAUUGUUUGAGAUCCCCACUGGAAAUAUGUAAGUUCAAUUUAAACAAUCUAAUAAACGUAAGUCUCAGUAUUUUGAUCCUGUCCGUUAAGACAAUUACGGAGCUCGGGGACGCCGCCUCUGACCCUUGAGACCGAACAAGGUUAGAGUCCGGCACUGGGUGCCGGUGACCGGUUAAAGGAGUUCAGUUCAAGUCAUAUUUCGGGAACUCCCAGCACGCAAGAAACAACACAGAACAGGCAAAUCUGUCAGCUGGCUCUUUUAAGCCACUCCAGACAGUCGUGAAAUAAAGCAAAUAACACCUAGACGAGCGUUAUAUAAUUAAUUGUUAAUAGGAAAUGUACCAGAACAUUUUGUAAUGUGUGAUCUUUGAUUAAAGAAAUAAAUUCCAAUUAAUAUAA